UAUGUACUUCCUCCGUCCAAAAAUACUUGUCAUCAAAAUAAAUAUAUAAAAAUGUAUCUAGAAAUAAAAUACGUCUAAAUCUAUCAUUUUUAUUCAUUUUAAUGACAAGUAUUUCUGGACGGAGAGAGUACAUU
rfam:Triticum urartu cultivar G1812 contig1056207, whole genome shotgun sequence.